UCUAUUUGGUUACGCUGCUCGGGAAAAGAAUCAACUUCAUUUCCACCACCUUCACCCGGGUCCCUCUACUCCAGCCACAUUUCUGCCUCAGGGCUUUGGCACAUGCUGUUCCUUCUGCCUCGACACAAUUCCCCCUGCCUGGACACCUUUCCCGCCUUCUGCUUGGACCCCCUCUUCCCCCCGCCCCGGAUAACAGCCUAGCUUGUUCUUAUGUUUCACUGAGUUACCUACUUACAAAUGACCUCCUUAGAAACCUUCCACGCUGCUCUCUUUCUCCUCAUCCUGCUUUAUAUUUCGUCAUAGCAUGUGAUUUCUAUUUUACUUAGGUAUUGGAGCAGUAGUCUAUGGUUAGUCUGUUCGACCAGAACAUAAGUUUCUUGAGAGGAGAAGAAGCCACAUUGCUUUUGUCUACCGCUCUGUCCCAGUGUCUACAGUAGGACCUGAUCUAUCGUAGACCCUCAAGAAAUAUUUCUUGAAUAAAUGAACGAAGGAAGGAAUGAUUUUCUCUCUGAUUACAAGUGGACAACUGAAACAAAGAGAAAAAUAAACUAGUCAAGUUCAAUAGCCAUUUAGUGGGAGAGUUAGUAUUAAUACUUUGAUUUCCUGACUCAUAAACCAGGGUUUUUUUCCUUCCAUAUGACACCGUUCUUCAAAUAUUUGGCAACUAAGACAUCCCUUGACGAACAAUUUAUUCAUCAAUCUUUAGCCACUUCAUGUCUACAGCACCAACUAGAACUUCACAAGGGUUUCCAGCUAUCACCUCAGUCUCUCCACCUCCAGGUCCUGCCACAAACAAGGAAAUGGAAGGGAAGAGGAAAUGGAAAAGGAGAAAGAGAAAGAGGAAGACUUGUGAUACUUCUGAAUUCAUUUUAACAAUUCACAACAAACCCAUUUUUGUGGUUAAUAUCAUGAGUUUUUCAAAUGUCUCAUUACUUACUGCUGGAUUGCCUUAAAUACUUUGAGUACCAAUGGAUGAAAAUAGCUCAGACUCCUGCCAACACCAGAUAUUCUCAUUGACUUAAAAAAAAUAAGUAUAAAUCCUAUUUAAUUGGUUUAUCA